UACGUAGGGGGCUAGCGUUGUCCGGAUUUAUUGGGCGUAAAGAGCGUGUAGGCGGCCAUGUAGGUCCGGUGUGAAAACUCGAGGCUUAACCUCGAGAUGUCAUCGGAAACCAUUUGGCUAGAGUCCGGAAGAGGAGAGUGGAAUUCCUGGUGUAGCGGUGAAAUGCGCAGAUAUCAGGAGGAACACCAGUGGCGAAGGCGGCUUUCUGGGCCUUACCUGACGCUGAGGAGCGAAAGCUGGGGGAGCGAACAGG
rnacentral:rRNA from 1 species